rnacentral:snRNA from 1 species
UGACUCUGGUUUCUCUUCAUUACGCACAAGCCUUUCGCCUUUUACUAAAGACUUCCGUGGAGAGGAACACUUACGAGUUCCCACGUAUUUUUGGAGCGGCUUUGCUUCUUGCAGAGCC